AGAUGUGAGGUGAAUUGGCUACAACACUAACCCCUCAUUCAUUUCCAGGGCAUAUUCAACUGGUCUGGCUGGUGAGGUAGGUGUUACCAUCUGCCUCAUUUCUUUUUACUUCAACUUAAAUUUGACAUUCAGGAUAAAACAUCUAGUAUGCCUCUUUCCUGAACUGAUGAAGAACCCAAACAAAUAAUCUGGGGGAAAGAGUCUGAAUCUAGACUCUAAAGCAGGAGCCUGUCUGU
rnacentral:snRNA from 1 species